CCACUCUCAAAGUGGCUGUGAAAUGAGUUACUCAUGAACGGUCCCAUAUCACAGCCAGCUUUGAAGAGCGAAA
rfam:Aedes albopictus isolate Foshan contig102082, whole genome shotgun sequence.